rnacentral:rRNA from 1 species
UACGAAGGCUCCAAGCGUUAUCCGGAUUUAUUGGGCGUAAAGGGUGCGUAGGGGGUUUCAUGUGUUUCCGGUUAAAGACCGAGGCUUAACUUCGGAAUCGCCGGGAAAACUGUGAAACUUGAGGGUGUUAGAGGUCUGUGGAACGCACGGUGUAGGGGUGAAAUCCGUUGAUAUCGUGCGGAACACCAAAGGCGAAGGCAGCAGACUGGGACAUUCCUGACCCUGAGGCACGAAAGCGUGGGGAGCAAAA